AGAUAACAGAAUAAAAGCAGGCGGCCAGAGCCAGCAGUGCCAACCAGCUGGGGUCCCCUUCUGCCAUGUAGAGGCUUUGUUCUUUCAGUCUUUGCAAUAAAUCUUUCUGCUGCUUGCUCUUUGGGUUCACACUGCCUUUCUGAGCUGUAAGGCAGUGAAGGUCUCAUCACGAAAGUCUACAAUUUCACUCCUGAAGUCAUGGAGACCACGAACCUACAGGGAGGAACGAACAACUCCAGACAGGCCGCCUUAAGAGCUAUAAUUCUCACCGCGAAGGUCUGCAGCUUCACUCCUGAGACAGUGAGACCACAAACCCACUGGGAGGAACCAACAACUCCAGACGGGCCACCUUAAAAGCUGUAACACUCACUGCGAAGGUCCGCAGCUUCACUCCUGAGCCAGUGAGACAACGAACCCACCGGGAGGAACGAACAACUCCAGACGGGCCACCUUAAAAGCUGUAACACUCACCGCCAAGGUCCGCAGCUUCACUCCUGAGCCAGCGAGACCACGAACCAACCAGAAGGAAGAAACUCCGAACACAUCCAAACAUCAGAAGGAACAAACUCCAGACACGCCGCCUUUAAGAAUUGUAACACUUACUGCGAGGGUCCGCGGCUUCAUUCUUGAAGUCAGUGAGAUCAAGUACCCACCAAUUCCGGACACAAUAGUACGUUUUUUUAAAAGUUUAUAUACAAAGAAAUAAAAUUAUUUGUAAAAAAAUAAAAACUUAGAUAUUGAAGUUAUUGUGAAAGAUG
rnacentral:lncRNA from 10 species